rnacentral:rRNA from 1 species
ACCAAAGAAAACACCGCUGACCGAUACUAAAAACGAAGCUGGUAACUUCCUAAAAAGGACACUGCAGGGACGAUUACUACCUCCGCUGCCCCUUUGCCCCACUACACCGGCCGUAGGUGUCCACGACCUCCGCUGUGUGCCGGAGCGACGGUGCUCGUCGGAGCAGCCCCCUCCGACACCGCUCCGCGGACAGCAGCGUGGGGCACGACGUUGCCCUGCGCCCGUCCCGACGCUGUCGUGGUCUCUGGUCUGGCGCGCGGUGCUGCUGGCGCUGAACGGCGACGUGCGGCGGCGCUGGUCGCGAUGUAGCAACCCAGGACCCCGAUACCCGGAUACCACUCCCCCUUCUCGCUGGACGUUUAGUCGGCUCCCGUCACGCUCGUCUCUUGUUGUUCUUUUCUUUGCACGCUCCUUCUUCUACACCCCCUCUUUCUAGUCUGCCGACGUACAUUAACUUAGCACCCCGAUCGUGCACUGGCCGGCUUUCGAUCGCGGCCGCCUGGCCACGGAUCGUAACCGGAUUUAUUAAAUCGAGCUUAGGUGUCUCCUGUAUGAAGUGAAAGUCACUACUUUUUUAUAGAAACUCGGAAAAAGUGAAAAUAAUUGCUGUCUUUUCUACACAGAUAGCGAACAACAGAGAACAAACGCGGAGACGACUCAUCAUGGCUCGCCAGAGAAAGACCAAGUUUUAGACUGGUGGGUUACUCGUCGUGGGUCGCGCGGUCCAGUAGUGGUUGCUACUCUAUCUCUUCACCUACUCUAAGGUGAAGCGGCGUCGGGGUAGUAGCAGAAGGGGGGAAGUUAGAGGUUCGGAGGUUUAGUUCUUCGAGACCCUCUGUUCGAGGCCGGCACUCGCUGUUACGGCGAGACGUCGAAGAUGCGGAGGUGCAGGGAGGGCCACCGGUUCGGGGUGAGGGACGGGAGGAGGCGGUUCGAGGGGAGGUGGCGGCGGCGCCGCUAGUGGUGGCACGUCGGUUUCUUCAGCGGCGGCCGGCACCGACGCCGGCGCCGCCGCUGGCAGGACGGCUGCUGCCGGCUCUUGUGUCGCAGGUACUGCGGCCGCCUCCGCGACAGAGACGUGGACGGCCUCGACGGCAGCCGCUACGCCCUGUUCUAGGACUCGGACCUCGACUACCCCCACCUGAUGCCCGCGCGCGACAGCGACUUGGGCCGCGAGGCCCUGCGCCGCGGCCUCAGGUAGGUGCGCCACCAGUGGAAGGACGUCAGCGCGCCCGAGGUGAAGUUCCUGGACCCGGCGCAGAAGCCGUACACGGGCAGGCACGAGUGGCGGUCGCAGGCGCGGCUGGAGGCGGGGCAGAAGCGGAAGGAGUGGCUGCUGGAGCCGCACGGCCUCCGGCGGAUGGCGGCGCACCAGCAGUUCACGGGCGCGCACGACAGGACGUCGCAGGCGCUGGUCGAGGCCGGCCGCGAGUAGAUGGAGGCGGCGGAGCCGAAGGCCCUGUUGGCGCGCGACCGCAAGGUCCUGGGGUAGGAGGAGCAGAGGUCGCACCUCGCGUGGUACCGCGGGUUCGACCUCAUGGACCGGCCCGACCCGUACAGCGCCCUGCUGCGGCACCGGUACCGCGAGGCGACGGGCCGGGAGAAGUGGAAGUUGCACCUCUCCUUGAUGUUCGGGUUCAAGCUCAUGGACCACCUCCUCUACCCGCCGCCGCACCUCCUGCAGUUCCGGAAGGGCGUCAUGAAGUGGAAGUCGGAGCUCUUCGCCUAGCGCGGCGCCGUGGCGCGUCGGCGGCUGCGGCCGCAGCUGGACGGCGACGGCCUGUACGAGUUCCGGUGGCUGCUCCUCAAGUCGCUCUACGAGCUCUCCUCCUCCUCCUCGCCUACUUCGCACGCCAUACCGGCGGCCGGCCGGCCGACUCGCGCGGCACGCGGUACGAGUACGUGCGUCCGCCGGCCGCCCACGAAACAUGUGAAUGGUGGCUCGAUACCGCUGGUCCCGAACGUGACAUGUAUUACUAGUUACCAACUACGGUGCCGAGGACUCAGGACUGAGUGUCGCACUUCACUACUACGAAGAAAGAAGACAUCUCCUACACAUUCAUGGUUACUUCAUCAGCCCACACGGUGCACAUAUCACAAGCAUUGUGUACAACCCCGACAUUUAUUUCAGUACCUCCUUUCAAGUUAGCCCUACUUGAGACAAUAUUAUAGUUCUUUACAUUUCGUCCCCCCUGCACUUUGAAACACCGGUAGGCUAGAUAAAAAUUUAGCCUACCGAGUUCUCGUUGGGAGAAGGGAUCACAUUCAAACGUUUACCUGUCGCCCACACUAGGAAAGGUGGCGUUGUCAACGAAACAACGUCCGGUUGGCCAAGAUCAUCUCCUUAGUUUCCCACCUUCGUCGCCUUCCGUCCUUCCCCAGGCUCGAGCCACUGUCGUGCGGUGCCCUUCACCUAGGAGACUGUGCUUCCUGUUUUCAGUGCAUUCGAUGUUAAGAGAUUGAAAAGAGGUAGUGUAGGUAUACUCAUUCCGAUUUGACUGAACUUAAUAAAACGUUUAAUGUUUAGAUGAAAUAUGUAAAUGUUUUUAAUGUAUGUUUG